CAGCCGCCGCGGGAAUACGUAGGUAGCGAGCGUUGUCCGGAAUUAUUGGGCGUAAAGGGAGCGCAGGCGGACAUAUAAGUCCAUCUUAAAAGUGCGGGGCUCAACCCCGUGAGGGGAUGGAAACUGUAUGCCUUGAGUGCAGGAGAGGAAAGCGGAAUUCCCAGCGUAGCGGUGAAAUGCGUAGAUAUUGGGAGGAACACCAGUGGCGAAGGCGGCUUUCUGGACUGCAACUGACGCUGAGGCUCGAAAGCCAGGGGAGCGAACGGGAUUAGAUACCCCUGUAGUCCCUGUCUCUUAUACC
rnacentral:rRNA from 1 species